rnacentral:rRNA from 1 species
AUUGAACGCUGGCGGCAUGCUUUACACAUGCAAGUCGAACGGCAGCACGGGGGCAACCCUGGUGGCGAGUGGCGAACGGGUGAGUAAUGCAUCGGAACGUGUCCUGUAAUGGGGGAUAACCUAUCGAAAGGUAGGCUAAUACCGCAUACGUCCUGAGGGAGAAAGCGGGGGCUCGCAAGACCUCGUGUUAUAGGAGCGGCCGAUGUCGGAUUAGCUAGUUGGUGGGGUAAAGGCCUACCAAGGCGACGAUCCGUAGCGGGUCUGAGAGGACGGCCCGCCACACUGGGACUGAGACACGGCCCAGACUCCUACGGGAGGCAGCAGUGGGGAAUUUUGGACAAUGGGGGCAACCCUGAUCCAGCCAUGCCGCGUGAGUGAAGAAGGCCU